UACGGGGGGGGCAAGCGUUGUUCGGAAUUACUGGGCGUAAAGGGUUCGUAGGUGGCUUGUUAAGUCAGACGUGAAAUCCCUCGGCUCAACCGGGGAACUGCGUCUGAGACUGAUGAGCUCGAGUGCAGGAGAGGAACGCGGAAUUCCAGGUGUAGCGGUGAAAUGCGUAGAUAUGGGGGAGAACACUCGUGGCGAAGGCGGCCAGCUAGACCAGUUCUGACACUGAGGCGCGACAGCGUGGGGAGCAAACAGG
rnacentral:rRNA from 1 species